rnacentral:rRNA from 1 species
UACGUAGGUGGCGAGCGUUAUCCGGAUUUAUUGGGCGUAAAGGGUGCGCAGGCGGUCUGUUUAGUCUGGGGUGAAAUCGUUGAGCUCAACUCAAUUAAGCCUUGGAUACUGGCAGACUAGAGUGCAGAAGAGGGUUAUGGAACUCCAUGUGUAGCGGUAAAAUGCGUAGAUAUAUGGAAGAACACCGGCGGCGAAGGCGGUAACCUGGUCUGUAACUGACGCUCAGGCACGAAAGCGUGGGGAGCAAAUA